GAAAUGCGAUAAGUAAUGCGAAUUGCAGAAUUCAGCGAGUCAUCGAAUCUUUGAACGCACAUUGCGCCCCUUGGUAUUCCAUGGGGCACACCCGUCCGAGCGCCGUAUGGACCAUCAGGCCUCUGUCUGGCGUUAGGGAGGCCGGCCUGGCCUCCUGGAAACACUUUGGCGCCAUGGGCCCGGCCGCGAUGCAGCGAACACCGCGUCCGGUCCGGCCCAGUGGCAGCCGGCUCUAUUUAGCACGGGAUGGCCUCGGAUCGGGUGGGGACACCCGCUGAACUUAA
rnacentral:misc_RNA from 1 species